AGGUGUAACAGGACUAUAAAAGAAAAGGCAAAAAAAUCAUCACGGCAUCAAGUUAAGUUUUAAGAUCAAUGCAAUGACACAGACAGCCUUCCCAAAGCAAGCUGCUGUUUAGUAAGGACAACGAAAUACUUGUAAGGGCUAAUAUGGCCAACCCCCAUGGAAGUGUUCCCAAGUGACUGUUCUGCCUCCUCCCAUGCCCUCCUGGGACCCACCUUUUCUUGCCCCUUAAGCUGAUGCUGCACAGCAGGAAAACUUAAACAAUUACCAUUCCAGCUGCUUCUCUUUGGCCUCCUGAUUGUUUAAAACUAAUGCCUGGUUGUGGAGUUCCCACUGUGCAUUCUAAAAAGUUCCAUCCUACAGAGGGUAAAUGACUCCAUUUCCCACCAGUCCGCACAUCCCAACUCUGCUUCACUGUGCUUCUCCCAAACCAGAGAAGUUAAGCAGCCCUACUCCACAGCUGUGCAGUGGGGAAACCAAGCCAUGCAUCAAAAUCAUUGAAAUACAAAAAAACUGCCAUUGCCACCAUGUGCUUAACAUGCCAACUUUGCUGCAAGGUGUCAUGGAGACCAGGACCUCCCCAGGAUUUUCACUAAGGUUAAACACUGACUAUCAAGAGCAAGCAUUGUUACAUCUCAGGCAUAUUCCCCAAGGAACAGGGAAUUGCCAUCAGCAUGUGCCAGGCACAGCUAGGUUUUUGACAGCACUGGGGAGAAGUGCUCAAGGUGUGAAAGCUGAAGUGAGGUCCUGGCAUGCACGAAGCCAAGCUCCCAGCAUUUCAUCACAAGAUUCCUGCCUGACUGGCCCAGGUGGAUGCAGUGAGGAGCUGUACAGGCUCCAGCCCAUUGCAUGAAGCUGAGAGUGAUGAUAAACCACCCUUCCUGUAAGGACAGAGGAGCUAACUGGAUCCGGACUGGCCUUUUCAACCUACACUUGAAAAAUGUCCUUCUCUGGGGACCCUGGUGCAGGAAAGUGGCAGUGGGAUAAACGUGAUCAGCUGAAGUGUUAAAAUGAUUGGUGACUGCCUUUCAUUUGCUUUGGUUUGGCAAUACCUGUGGAUACAGCUGGAGAUUUCAAUAUCCUUCCUGGAACACCCCCAUCUCCCUCAGAACUGCCACCUGCUUUGGAAAUCUUGACAUCUGAAAAAAAACCAAACAAAAUGAGUGAUUCAUAUAGAGUCAUAUAGAUAUGUGGGGGCAUAUUCCUCUCCAUGGUGCUCCAUUGUCUUUAGUAAAUAUCAUCAAGAAAUAAAUCAUUUGCAGAACAGA